GUUGGGAUGAGUUUUGGGAAGUCUGAAGGUUUGUUUUGUUUCUGUAUAGUAACUUCCAUUGUUCAGGUGAAGUAUGACUGUGUUUUAUAUCUUCUUCACCCCAAUACUUAACCGAACCCUAGUCUAUUUGAGCAAUCUUAAUUAUGAUAGUAUCAUAUCUUAAAUGAGAUCUCGCGAGAAUAGACAAGGUGAGUUAUCCUGUCAUUCUUUGCCGAACUGUAGUACUGUUAGUAGGACAUUGUCAUAUUUUGUCGAAUUGGACGAAAUAUUUACUUGAUACAUGGAGAAGAGAAAUAUAUAUGUAAAAAAAAAAUAUAUCGACAAAAACAUUGAUGGAGAAUCAAUUUUAUCAGGUUACAUUUGCUCAAAUGACUUCGGGUUUUAUAUCUAGUUCACCCCAAAAUGAAUACUUAACCGAACCCUAGUCUAUUUGAGCAAUCUUAAUUAUGAUAGUAUCAGAUUUGAGGUAUAUUCCACCAAUUAAUGGUAAUUCCUGAC
rnacentral:lncRNA from 1 species